CCUACGGGAGGCAGCAGUGGGGAAUAUUGGGCAAUGGGCGCAAGCCUGACCCAGCAACGCCGCGUGAAGGAAGAAGGCUUUCGGGUUGUAAACUUCUUUUCUCAGGGACGCAGCAAGUGACGGUACCGGAGGAAUAAGCCACGGCUAACAACGUGCCAGCAGCCGCGGUAAUACGUAGGUGGCAAGCGUUAUCCGGAUUUACUGGGUGUAAAGGGCGUGUAGGCGGGACUGCUAGUUAGAUGUGAAAACCACGGGCUCAACCUGUGGCCUGCAGUUGAAACUGUUGUUCUUGAGUACUGGAGAGGCAGACGGAAUUCGUAGUGUAGCGGUGAAAUGCGUAGAUAUUAGGAAGAACACCGGUGGCGAAGGCAGUCUGCUGGACAGCAACUGACGCUGAGGCGCGAAAGCGUGGGGAUCGAACAGGAUUAGAUACCCUUGUAGUC
rnacentral:rRNA from 1 species